AGUGAACGCUGGCGGUAGGCCUAACACAUGCAAGUCGAACGGCAGCACAGUAAGAGCUUGCUCUUACGGGUGGCGAGUGGCGGACGGGUGAGGAAUACAUCGGAAUCUACUUUUUCGUGGGGGAUAACGUAGGGAAACUUACGCUAAUACCGCAUACGACCUACGGGUGAAAGCAGGGGAUCUUCGGACCUUGCGCGAUUGAAAGAGCCGAUGUCGGAUUAGCUAGUUGGCGGGGUAAAGGCCCACCAAGGCGACGAUCCGUAGCUGGUCUGAGAGGAUGAUCAGCCACACUGGAACUGAGACACGGUCCAGACUCCUACGGGAGGCAGCAGUGGGGAAUAUUGGACAAUGGGCGCAAGCCUGAUCCAGCAAUACCGCGUGGGUGAAGAAGGCCUUCGGGUUGUAAAGCCCUUUUGUUGGGAAAGAAAAGCAGCAGGUUAAUACCCCGCUGUUCUGACGGUACCCAAAGAAUAAGCACCGGCUAACUUCGUG
rnacentral:rRNA from 1 species